GCAGAGAAAGAAGUUUUAAUGAAGUACAGCUGAAGUCAGAUUGCAAUGAAUUAAGGAGUGGUAGGAGGCCAGGAAGUAUAGAAAUUGGAUAUCUUGUGUCUUUUCUUUUUCUAGAAAUCUUCCUUCUCUGCUCUCUGCCCUGCAGAAUUGGUAAGUCCUCUCAGAGCACGCAGUGUGCCAGCCUCAGAAAUGCACUGACUGAUCAUACUGGCUGACUUCUAUGUACCUACCUUCCCAUAAUACUAAACUGUGAGCUCUUGGAAGGCAAAGACUGUCUUAUUCUUUGCAUCUUCAACCUCUAACACAGCACAGCACAAGUAGUCAGCAUGCAAAAUUGCCUUCGGAACUGAGCUGAACUCACAUGCGCCUCUCUACUUCUUAGCCUUCUCUUCAACACUGCCCUUGUACAAACUACCAUCUCACAUUCGAUACUGCAGCAUCUUCUUCUUUGGUUAUCUUGACCCUGAACCUGCCCUCUACAUUUCAUUAUUCACUUUGUACCCAAAACAAGCUCUGUAAAAACACCACGGUGAACAUAUCAUUUCUUAUGUCAACACUUCAGAGGUUAGAGGACAGAAAAUUGCCAUGUAGCUUUUCUCCCUUCAGGAUUUCAUUUCUAUAUCCAGGCUGCUGCAUAUAUUUUAUAUUGUUAUCUCUUCCACAGCAAGUAAAAGAAUACCUUUUCUUAAACUUCCCUAAACAGUGAGAAAAUGCCAGUUUCUCUUUGUCAUGAUCUUGGCUCCGCCCUCUCAAGGUAAUGCUUCAUUUUCAGUCUGGUAGCAAAAUGGCUAUGGUAAUAGCUGUAGGAGUCAACUUUUAACUUG